ensembl:lncRNA
GUUCACAACGUGGACAUGUAGAACUACUUUGUGUAAACAGGAGAUUCACAUAACAAUGUUAGUAGUGGUUUCCUAGGGUUUGUCGCAAAUGGCUCCCUAUUCACUAUCUAGUGCACUUCUUCUGGUCAAAAGUAGUGCACUACUAUAGGGAACAGUGUGUCAUUUGGGACACACUAUAACACUCAGAUUGACAGUAUUGUUCUAACUCUCUUGUCUUGUUCUUAACGUAGAGCUUUGGGUCGUACCAUUUUGGGGAGUUUGAUCUGAGUGCUGUACAGAUUUCCCAGAGGUAUUCUACCGACUGCACCGGUUUCUACACCUCCGCUGGCCUUCUGAACUUCUCCUGACCACCUCUCCCCUGAACGUUCCCUCAGGUGAGAGAGAGAGAGAGAGGUAAAAAGAGAGAGAGAGGUAAAGAGAGAGAGAGAGGUAAAGAGAGAGAGGUAGAGAGAGAGAGGUAAAGAGAGAGAGAGAGGUAAAGAGAGAGAGAGAGGUAAAGAGAGAGAGAGGUAAAGAGAGAGAGAGGUAAAGAGAGAGAGAGGUAAAGAGAGAGAGGUAAAGAGAGAGAGGUAAAGAGAGAGAGAGAGGUAAAGAGAGAGAGAGAGGUAAAGAGAGAGAGAGGUAAAGAGAGAGAGAGGUAAAGAGAGAGAGAGAGGUAAAGAGAGAGAGGAGGAGAGAGAGAACACAACAGUGGUUUUUACAUUGAUUACCUUUACUGUAAAUUGUUGUACAUUUUAAGUGGUCAGUUUUCAGUAAUUUACAACUUUUUUGACAGUUGUUUGACAGACGAGGUAAAUCUCAGCAAUUAUGGUAAAUUUCCUCAAAAAUCAGAAGUGUAAAUCCCUCUUCAGGCAGGACAUCAAAGCACUCUACUGUUGGCCAGCAGAGGGCUCUAUCAGGCUUUAUUAUAGUGUGGAGGAGGCAGGGAGCAUUCUCUCGUCUGUGUGUGUGUGUGCAGGCAUUUUGAGGGGCAGUGACACUGUUGUCUGUCACUUCCCUGUCAGCGCUGUUGUCUGUCCCCC